AGCCCCCCCAACAAAAUUCACAUUCACCAAUUUCUUCACUUAAAUCUUGCCAGUCAGAUUUGCAGCAAUUGAAUUCCUGAACUUCACAAAAUCGACAACUUCAAGAAGUUGGAUUUGCAGCAAGAUUUUCCCAAGCUUAACAAAAUAAACACAACUCAAAGAAAUUUCUAACACAGGUUUUCCCUUUGGUUCAAACGCCACAAGAAGACCUCGAAAAAGCUAUAGAAAAACUAGCAUUCUAUGAUUUACAGGAAGUUCUUACACGGCAGCUGGAGCUGGAAGUCAGCUUACCGACCAAAAUAAAU
rnacentral:misc_RNA from 1 species